UCCCUUAUAGCUCAGUUGGUAAAGAAUCUGCCUGCAGUGCAGGAGACCUGGGUUUGAUUCCUGGGUUGGGAA
rnacentral:tRNA from 1 species